CCGUCGACCUGAAGUCUACCGCUGUGGAUGUUAUUCCUGUUAAGCUGCCACCUGUGGUGAAGGUUGACAAAGUGAUUUCUAUGUCAGUUCUGCGACAAGUGUUGCCAAGAGCCAUUUUUGAAACCUGCUAUGCUGAAGAAGUUUAUCAAGAUGGCUUUUACUGCAGUGUGUGUGAGUUUGUGCCACCUGAAGGAAAAGAAGAAAGCAGCUCAUUAGCUCAGCUUCUCUCAGAGAUCAAGGA